rnacentral:rRNA from 1 species
UUGGCUUAGAAGCAGCCAUCCUUGAAAGAGUGCGUAAUAGCUCACUGGUCAAGUGAUUCUGCGCCGAUAAUGUAGCGGGGCUCAAGUACACCGCCGAAGUUGUGGCAAUGACCCUUUGAGGGUUGUUGGGUAGGGGAGCGUCGUGUAGCCGGUGAAGCUGCGGUGUAAACCAGUGGUGGAGGCUAUGCGAGUGAGAAUGCAGGCAUGAGUAGCGAAAGAUGAGUGAGAAACUCAUCCGCCGGAUGAUCAAGGGUUCCAGGGUCAAGUUAAUCUGCCCUGGGUUAGUCGGGGCCUAAGGCGAGGCCGACAGGCGUAGUCGAUGGAUAACGGGUUGAUAUUCCCGUACCGGUGAAAAACCGCCCAUACUGAUAUUGUGAUGCUAACCAUGCGAAGCAUGAUGUGCAGGCUUUUGUUUGUGUGUUGUGUGGGUUGUGGGACCCGAUCUUUGGAGGUAAACGUGUUAACAGGUGUGACGCAGGAAGGUAGCCAAGCCACGCGAUGGUUGUCGUGGUCUAAGCGUGUAGGGUUGUCGGUUGUUAAAUGCGCCGGCUGUGUGCCUGAGACGUGAUGGGACCCUGUUUUUGGGGGAUUUGGUGAUCCUAUGCUGCCGAGAAAAGCAUCGGCGUGAGGUUUUAGCCGCCCGUACCCUAAACCGACACAGGUGAUCAGGUAGAGAAUACUAAGGCGAUCGAGAGAAUCAUGGUUAAGGAACUCGGCAAAAUGCCCCCGUAACUUCGGGAGAAGGGGGGCCUGAUACUUGAUGAAACCUUUUUGGCUUUCUAGGGUUGAGGGUCGCAGAGACCAGGGAGAAGCGACUGUUUACUAAAAACACAGGUGCGUGCGAAGCCGUAAGGCGAUGUAUACGUACUGACGCCUGCCCGGUGCUGGAAGGUUAAGAGGAACCGUCAGCUGGCUUUUUGUUGGUGAAGCGGUGAAUUUAAGCCCCAGUAAACGGCGGUGGUAACUAUAACCAUCCUAAGGUAGCGAAAUUCCUUGUCGGGUAAGUUCCGACCUGCACGAAUGGCGUAACGACUUCUCCGCUGUCUCGACCGUGAACUCGGCGAAAUUGCAGUACGAGUAAAGAUGCUCGUUUCGCGCAGAAGGACGGAAAGACCCCGGGACCUUUACUAUAGCUUGGUAUUGGUGUUCGCUUGGACUUGUGUAGGAUAGGUGGGAGACUGUGAAGCUGCCGCGCCAGCGGUGGUGGAGUCGUCGUUGAAAUACCAUUCUGGUUCAAGCGGUCACCUCAACCUUGGCCCGUGAUCCGGGUUGGGGACAGUGCCUGGUGGGUAGUUUAACUGGGGCGGUUGCCUCCUAAAAUGUAACGGAGGCGCUCAAAGGUUCCCUCAGCCUGGUUGGUAAUCAGGUGGCGAGUGCAAGUGUACAAGGGAGCUUGACUGUGAGACCGACGGGUCGAGCAGGUGCGAAAGCAGGAACUAGUGAUCCGGCCAUGGCACGUGGGUGCGUGGUCGCUCAACGGAUAAAAGGUACCCCGGGGAUAACAGGCUGAUCUUGCCCAAGAGUCCAUAUCGACGGCAUGGUUUGGCACCUCGAUGUCGGCUCGUCGCAUCCUGGGGCUGGAGCAGGUCCCAAGGGUUGGGCUGUUCGCCCAUUAAAGCGGUACGCGAGCUGGGUUUAGAACGUCGUGAGACAGUUCGGUCCCUAUCCUCUGCGCGCGUUGGAAACUUGAGAAGGGCUGUCCCUAGUACGAGAGGACCGGGACGGACGAACCUCUGGUGUGCCAGUUAUCCUGCCAGGGGUAUGGCUGGUUUGCUACGUUCGGGAUGGGUAACCGCUGAAAGCAUCUAAGCGGGAAACUAGCUUCGAGAUUAGGUUUCCGUCCCCGUUUUU